rnacentral:rRNA from 1 species
CCUACGGGGGGCAGCAGUGAGGAAUAUUGGUCAAUGGCCGUAAGGCUGAACCAGCCAAGUAGCGUGAAGGAAGAAGGAUCUAUGGUUUGUAAACUUCUUUUAUAGGGGAAUAAAGGUAUCCACGUGUGGCUAUUUGCAUGUACCCUAUGAAUAAGCAUCGGCUAACUCCGUGCCAGCAGCCGCGGUAAUACGGAGGAUGCGAGCGUUAUCCGGAUUUAUUGGGUUUAAAGGGUGCGUAGGUUGUUUGUUAAGUCAGCGGUGAAAGUUUGUGGCUCAACCAUAAAAUUGCCGUUGAAACUGGAAGACUUGAGUGUGUUUGAGGUAGGCGGAAUGCGUGGUGUAGCGGUGAAAUGCAUAGAUAUCACGCAGAACUCCGAUUGCGAAGGCAGCUUACUAAGCCAUAACUGACACUGAAGCACGAAAGCGUGGGGAUCAAACAGGAUUAGAUACCCCUGUAGUC